ACAGCCUCCAAAAGCCACAGAGAAACCCUGUCUCGAAAAACCAAAAAAAAAAAAAAAAAAAAAAAGAAUGACCUAACUCCUUUUGUAGGUGAUUUCUGGGGUAAUCAGAAGACUAAACCUUGUUUACAGUUAAGGGCAUCUUCCCUUACUACCAUGUUUCCUAGGGAUUUAUGUGCACUAUCCAUUGUAACCCAUCCAGCACAGAGGGACAGUCUCACUGAAAACUUGUUUGUUUGUUUUUCAAGACAGGCUCUCUCUGUGUAGCCCUGGCUGUAGCCUUGAACUCAGAGAUUCUCCUGCAUGUGUCUUGUGAGUGCUGGGACUAAAGCUCACUUAGGUCCUUUAUUGUUUGAGACGCACUUUCUGAAGCUCUUUCCCCCACAGCGCCUGUCUCAGGCUUUACACCCGUGUUAAGGACAGGUUAAGGACGUUACACCCAUGUUUACAUCCCCUUUAGAAACCCCGGCUCUGUGGCAUCUCGGCUCAUUCUGGAACCCUGCUGCAGUGAUGUGGAGGAGCUGCCUGGGUCAGGUGCAAGAAGGUGAAAUCCAACAGCUUCGCCAGCUGGUUUCCAGCCAGGUAAAGCACACGUAGCUGGACCAAGCCCACAAAUGCACCGCCACGCAAUCCCCGAAGCCGGUUGCCAGUGAGCGCCAGUUCAAGCAGGCGGGGCUGCGCACGGAAGGCGCCCGACUCCAGUGCCCGCAGGGUAUUGUUAUGCAAGUAGAGGUGGCGCAGGGCAGCGAGUGGCGCCAGGGCGCCUUGCUCCAGGUGCGCGAUGCUGUUGUCUUGCAGGAACAGCGUCUGAAGAUGGGGGGACCAGAGGAUUACUUCACCGUGGGGCAGGUCCCAGUCCCAUGCAGCGCCCCGUCCCACCUGCCGGUAAACCUCUGCACCCUCGUGACCUUCCACCACACCUCUGGUGCUCACCAAUCUCUUCCAUGCCACGCGUGCCCACUACUCCAACCCAAGACCCUCCAGUCCCACGUAGUGCCCACCUGCGUCCCUGGGGGGAUUCCCGGCGGGACGACACGCAGCCGUAGGGCGCCGCACUCCACUGUGGCACUGUAGCAGCGGCAGGCGGCGGGACAGCCAGUGGCGUGGGGCGGGAGUCCGGGCAGCAGCGGCAGCAACAGCAACCCCAACAGUAGCGGCAGCAGUGGGGGCGCCCCUGGGGCCAUUUCCGAAGAGCCCCACCAGGAAGCUGUGGCUUCCCCAAGGGCUGGACCCGUUCGGGAUGCGGCUCCUGAAACAGGGCCUACUGUGUUUCUCUCUUGGCCUGGACUUGAUUAUGUGGACCACAAUGGCUUCAAAACCCAGAGGUCUUUCUGUGUUUGACUCUGAGUGGUGAGAUUAAAGGCCUGUGUGGCCAUGCCUAGCGUA